GGGCAUGUAGCGCAGUGGUAGUCGCGCUCGCUUUGCAUUGAUACAAACACGGCGUUGCGAGAGGCCUUGGGUUCAAUCCCCAACUUGUCCA